GACGAACGCUGGCGGCGUGCUUAACACAUGCAAGUCGAGCGGAAAGGCCACUUCGGUGGUACUCGAGCGGCGAACGGGUGAGUAACACGUGAGUAAUCUGCCCCUGGCUUUGGGAUAGCCACCGGAAACGGUGAUUAAUACCGGGUACGACCACUUCUCGCAUGGGAUGGUGGUGGAAAGUUUUUUCGGCCAGGGAUGUGCUCGCGGCCUAUCAGCUUGAUGGUGAGGUAAUGGCUCACCAUGGCUUCGACGGGUAGCCGGCCUGAGAGGGUGACCGGUCACACUGGGACUGAGACACGGCCCAGACUCCUACGGGAGGCAGCAGUGGGGAAUAUUGGACAAUGGGCGGAAGCCUGAUCCAGCAACGCCGCGUGAGGGAUGACAGCCUUCGGGUUGUAAACCUCUUUCAGCAGGGACGAAGCGCAAGUGACGGUACCUGCAGAAGAAGCACCGGCCAACUACGUGCCAGCAGCCGCGGUAA
rnacentral:rRNA from 1 species